UUCCAAAACAGAUGAAGUGGAAUAACAGGCUCUCAUCAAAACUUUUAACACAAAAAUACAAAGCUCAAAAAUAAAUAAACAAUAGUCUAUAAUUUUUCUAUAAUAUUUUGGAAUUUAUCUAUAAUUUCUCCAAUAUAAUGUAUAUAUUGUCUUCUUCUUCUUCUUCUUCGAAUUUCAAUAUGAAAUUAAGCCAAAACCAAGUUUAAUCUUCACCAAAACCCCUCAAAAUUGAGAUAUAAACUCCAAACCAUAUUCUCAAUUAUUUACAAUAACACCUAAUCCAAACAAAUAAUAAUUUUUGAAAAUCCAAUUUUGAAUUCAAAGCUUCAAAGCUUUUUAAUGGCUAUCAAUGGUGGAAUUGCUGCUCUUUUUUCCUUUCCUCUUAUAUUACUGAAGGAACCCGAAAUCAUAAUCAUAAAAAGUUAUUGCUAUGUAUGAAACUUUGAAGAUUUUACUUCAAUUUUAACUGGCUGUAGAAGAAAAAACCUUGAUUUUGGAUGUUAAUGGUAGAGAAUUUCAAUUGUUUUUUUCUGGAUUUAGCAGAGUGUUUCAAUUGUUUUUCUGGUUUUUUCUGGUUUUUGGGUGUGCGGUGAUACGUGGGUGAGGUGUGGAGUUGAGAGAGAAACAUGGGGGGAGGGGGGGAUUUGAAGGAAUAUACGGUACCAUAAAUUUAGGAGUGAUAUAAGGUACAAUUAAUAUACACUUAAAACACCUUACGGUAUAGAAUUAGUAAUUAAGCACACUAAAU
rnacentral:lncRNA from 1 species